GGGCGACUGCACUGAACUGAUUCUACUCUUUUCAUUUCUAACAAUCGCAAUUCUACUGUUAAAUCCAACUCAAAUCCCUUCCACUCUGUAAAUGUUCCAAUUGAAUUUUCACCUUUGAACUUAGAAAAAAUUACUAAGUAAUUUGACAGUUUUGAAGAGAUUUCUUUUGUGAUUUUCAUAUCAAAGGGUAAAUAGACAUUCCCAUCAUCUUUAUGCUGUCCCAGUUAACUGAUCAAGUUAAGUGAGUUGUUUUCAGUUUUGAAUUUGGAGUAAUGGAGGUUUAUCAUUGUACAUGAGUUUUUUAACUCAUGUCUGAUGUGAGUGUAACAGAGCAGAAGGAGGGCAGCCCUUAGCAGCCAGCCAUUACUGUGCCUCAUUACCCCACACCCUGUUACUAGGCAACAGGUCUUGCUCAGCCGUUGCUUGGUGCCUUAGUGCGCCCUGCUUGCAAGCAACCAACUUGCAACCAAUGAAGGGUUGUCAGUUGUCCUUCUCAGCCAUUGGUCAACACCGAAGUGGCCCACUGAUAACUGUCAAGGAGGGAUCAUUGGGGAAGUGAUUCAAUCAAGGAUCAGUGGUGUGGUGGUCAUCAGGUGGAGAGUGAGGACAGAGAAUACCAUUCAUCUGGUAGAGAUUUACAGGAACAUCACUACCUGACCAUGACCGGACCUCAAGAAUAAAGAAUCUGACACUGAGAAGUCUGCAACAACUAACCACGCCCAUCCCUCCCCUUUUGCUUUUAAAGGGACUUGUUUAAAAAAAUAAUAAUAAUAAUAAUAAAUAAAUAAAGGGACUUGUU